rnacentral:rRNA from 1 species
GACGAACGCUGGCGGCGUGCUUAACACAUGCAAGUCGAACGCUGAAGCUCAGCUUUUGUUGGGUGGAUGAGUGGCGAACGGGUGAGUAACACGUGAGUAACCUGCCCCCUUCUUUGGGAUAACGCCCGGAAACGGGUGCUAAUACUGGAUAUUCACUGGUCUUCGCAUGGGGGUUGGUGGAAAGGGUUUUUCUGGUGGGGGAUGGGCUCGCGGCCUAUCAGCUUGUUGGUGGGGUGAUGGCCUACCAAGGCUUUGACGGGUAGCCGGCCUGAGAGGGUGACCGGUCACAUUGGGACUGAGAUACGGCCCAGACUCCUACGGGAGGCAGCAGUGGGGAAUAUUGCACAAUGGGCGCAAGCCUGAUGCAGCGGCGCCGCGUGAGGGAUGGCGGCCUUCGGGUUGUGAACCUCUUUCGCUCAUGGUCAAGCCGCAACAAUGGUUGUGGUGAGGGUAGUGGGUAAAGAAGCGCCGGCUAACUACGUG